CGGACGGGUGAGUAAUGUCUGGGAAACUGCCCGAUGGAGGGGGAUAACUACUGGAAACGGUAGCUAAUACCGCAUGACGUCGCAAGACCAAAGAGGGGGACCUUAGGGCCUCUUGCCAUCGGAUGUGCCCAGAUGGGAUUAGCUUGUAGGUAAGGUAACGGCUUACCUAGGCGACGAUCCCUAGCUGGUCUGAGAGGAUGACCAGCCACACUGGAACUGAGACACGGUCCAG
rnacentral:rRNA from 1 species